GUCCACGCCGUAAACGAUGAUUACUAGUUGUUGGCCCGCUGGGGUCAGUGACCAAGGGAAACCGAUAAGUAAUCCACCUGGGGAGUACGCCGGCAACGGUGAAACUCAAAGUAAUUGACGGGGUCCGCACAAGCGGUGGAGCAUGUGGUUUAAUUCGAUGAUACGCGAGGAACCUUACCUAGGCUAGAAUGUGAGAGAAUGUAUCAGAGAUGGUACAGCUAGCAAUAGCUCGAAACAAGGUGCUGCAUGGCCGUCGU
rnacentral:rRNA from 1 species